UACAGAGGGGGCGAGCGUUGUUCGGAAUUACUGGGCGUAAAGGGCGCGUAGGCGGCCCGCUAAGUCGAACGUGAAAUCCCCAGGCUUAACCUGGGAACUGCGUCCGAUACUGGCAGGCUUGAAUCCGGGAGAGGGAUGUGGAAUUCCAGGUGUAGCGGUGAAAUGCGUAGAUAUCUGGAAGAACACCGGUGGCGAAGGCGGUCAACUGGCCCUAAACUGACGCUCAGGCACGAAAGC
rnacentral:rRNA from 1 species